rnacentral:rRNA from 2 species
GACGAACGCUGGCGGCGCGCCUAACACAUGCAAGUCGAGCGAUGAAAGUUGUUCAGAUCCUUCGGGUGACGAACUUCUGGAUUAGCGGCGAACGGGUGAGUAACGCGUGAGGAACCUGCCUCUCACAACGGGAUAGCCUCGGGAAACCGGGAUUGAUACCGUAUGACACUAUCAGAUGGCAUCAUCAGGUAGUUAAAGUGCUAGCGGUGAGAGACGGCCUCGCGUCUGAUUAGUUAGUUGGUGGGGUAACGGCCUACCAAGACGACGAUCAGUAACCGGCCUGAGAGGGUGAACGGUCACAUUGGAACUGAGACACGGUCCAAACUCCUACGGGAGGCAGCAGUGGGGAAUCUUGCACAAUGGGGGGAACCCUGAUGCAGCGACGCCGCGUGAGCGAUGAAGGUUUUCGAAUCGUAAAGCUCUGUCCUAUGGGAAGAUAAUGACGGUACCAUAGGAGGAAGCCCCGGCUAACUACGUGCCAGCCGCCGCGGUAA